rnacentral:rRNA from 1 species
GUAGUCCAUGCCGUAAACGAUGUCAACUAGCCGUUGGGGGAUUUGAUCCUUUAGUGGCGCAGCUAACGCGAUAAGUUGACCGCCUGGGGAGUACGGUCGCAAGACUAAAACUCAAAUGAAUUGACGGGGGCCCGCACAAGCGGUGGAGCAUGUGGUUUAAUUCGAUGCAACGCGAAGAACCUUACCUGGUCUUGACAUAGUGAGAAUCCUGCAGAGAUGCGGGAGUGCCUUCGGGAAUUCACAUACAGGUGCUGCAUGGCUGUCGUCAGCUCGUGUCGUGAGAUGUUGGGUUAAGUCCCGCAACGAGCGCAACCCUUUUCCUUAUUUGCCAGCACUUCGGGUGGGAACUCUAAGGAUACUGCCAGUGACAAACUGGA